CUAAUUAAGCAAUUUUCACAAACUUCCAAAUUGAUAGUCGUUCCCUCCCAGCAGUACGUUUUAUCAGCAGAGUUCCUUGGAGUCCAUUUGAUUUGGCAAUUUCAUCAUUAAGCCAAUCUGGGUUAUUCCAACUGCUCAAAAGGCCUCCGCUCCAAGAUUUUUCCAACAAACCAGACUUGCUAUCUUCAGAAUUCUCCCCAGGCUGAAUUGGAACAUAUGGUGGAUUGCAAACUAUGAGGUCAAACGGCUCUCGGAAACACUUUGGAGCAGAGUUUGGUCCAUCUUAAAAAAAUAAAUAUUUUCGAAGGAUUGAUAUGAUAUUACUCCUAAUAUGAAGCUAAGGAAAAUAAAUAUAGCGUGUUUAAACCAAUCAUUUAAAAAAGCUUA